AUAUUUUUAAUUUAAAUAAUUACAAAAACACACCGGUUUCUCGGUUCGGUUCGGUUUAAAACCGAACCAUACUAAACCAUUCGGGUUAGGAAAAUCUUCAACUGAAUGGUUUGAAAUAGACUUUGGUUCGGUUUGAAUCGGUUUCGGUUCGGUUGGUUCGGUUUGACUCGGUUCGGUUAGGUUUUUUUCACCCUUACUGAAAAGUGAAUUCUGAAUGAACGAUAUCUCAUGUUUUAUUUUUUUUCAAUUUCUUCUUUUAUGUUUUCGAUUUAUCACAAGUAUCAUAGUUCUCAGGUUGGAUAUGAAUAGUAUCACUGGAUAAAUAAUUAACUCUCAGAGGAUCCUUAUGGUCCUAUCAAUAGGAAGAUAAUUCAAAAACUACUCUCCCUAAAAGAUUAUCUUUUAUCCCGACACUACCGUCCAUAAUAACAUACUAAGGUAUUGAUCCUUUGAUGAGGUCUUUCAUUCAUCCACCAACUAAGUUUCCAAUAAAUAUCUCCUUUUGAUUGCUAC
rnacentral:lncRNA from 1 species